ACAUUUAAAAUGUUUCACGUGGUACCCAGGCCUAUAUUCUUUUGACCACUAGAGGCCUCUAUUAGACACAUAAAGCCUCGAAAAAGAAGAGUGGAAAGUUUCAAGCCUUUCAAGCUUUUGCUGCGUUCGAGGCGAUGUUGCAACUUGUAAUUCCCUGCCUACAACCGGUAAAAGCCACAGAAAACGCCCCCCUCAACCGCACCUUGUGGUAGUCUUCUCAACUACCAGUUCCUUCUCCGAUUAUGGAGUGACAUCAAAUCAACAUGGCCAUGCAGAGUGUGAACAGUGUAAUGUACCCCUUCUCUACUUUUAAAUUAGUUUAGUAUUGGCUUUAAAUCAAUUAAUAUAUAGACACAGUCCUUGUUUUAAUCUAUAAAAUUGACCAUACUAAUCGCUGUUUUGAGAAGGUAAUCAUCAACAUUAGAGUUAUCAUUAACGUUAGCCGGCUAGCUUUUUGCUAAUGCUACCUGAUUUUGUCCUUUGUUGUUGAUAUACUCUAAUUUCAGUCCAAAAUGUUGCAUGAAUGUUUUAAGUUCACGUUAUGUUGAUGUCUUAAUGUUUCCUCAACUCCGAGUUCAGCAAGUGACGUCACAUCAACAUGGCUGCUCACAGCUGAACGCAUCCUGGACAUUGUCUUCAGCACACUCUGCUUCACUUCACACUGCUGGAGAAACAUUUAAGCCUAUAAACGGCUGAUGAUAAUUUUAAGCUACAUUCACAAAGAAUAUUUUGCAUUUGCCAGAAAAUCAGUGGCAGAAGCAUGUUUUGGAGUCAUGGAAGGAAACCGAAGAACCCAAGGCAACCCAUAUGGACAUGGGGAGAACAUGCAAAACUCCACACAGACAGUAACCUGAGCUCAGAAUUGAACCGGGGACCCUGGAGCUGUGAGGCGUGCCCCACCAGUGUUAUUACACCAUGAGUUAUUUAUCUUAGAUUAGUAAAUAUACCCAAGAGGCUUUGACACUGUGUGUCAUCAGCUGUGGCUUUUGCUAUUCUUAUUAUACAGACAGUAACACAAGCUCAGGAUUGAACCAGGGAGGAACCCUAGAACCACCAGACCAAUAAUACUUAAUAUUUUGCUUGCAAAUCUUGGUUUUGUUUAAUAUUUAUAGGCACAGAAAUUAUUAUUAUUAUUAUUAUACCUUAAACAGUAAAAAAAAACAGUAAAAUUAAUAUGCAUGAAAUCUUUGAAAUAUUACCUUCAUUUUCUUCAUCAUAGAAAAGAUAGGGCCCUGCAUCUUUUGAGAUAGACAGACAGAUAGAUAGAAAGAAAGAUAGUCUGUUACUACAUCUUGACUACAGUUUUUAUAAUACAUUUUGUUGUUGUGGGUGUUUAAAAGUAUCAAAAUACAAGAAAAAGAAAUGCAGGUCUAUGGAGGAAAUUAAUAAUAGAGGAAAUUAAUUAUAUGAAAAAAGGGAAGAAUGCGUGUGAUUGAAAUGAAGGUUUAGUGAUUAGAGAGUGAAUAGCUACACUUUGAAGUAAAAAAAAAAGACAUUAUUAUUAUUAUUAUUACUACUACUAUUAAUUUCUGUCCAACGCAACUUAUGUUAAACUGCAUAUUGUUUUAUAUUAUUUAGUUAGUUAGCUAAGCUACCUUGUGUAUAGACAGAGGCCUCUCUGCUCUGUUGUAUCUUGUGCUGAGUUGAGCCCAGUGUAGCACUGUGAGUCUUCUCCUUUAUUUUUAAUGAAGAACUAAACUUGAGACUGUGCUUUGCGUUUGUCUUUCUUGAUAAGCAGGUCACAGAAAUUUCGGGACUUUUUCUAACUGGCAGCGACAGAAAAGCUUUACUAACCACCAUCUUCCUUUUUAAUUCCCGUCCUGAAUUCGUGUCAAAUUUCGCAUUUGUCAAUUUUUGUCUUUGCACACGAGACUUUUCUUUAGUAAACAUAACGCAAUAGUUAUUCUGAAAACGAUAUUUCUCUGGUAAAAUGAAUGGAACAAAUUUAGCUAAUUAGCUGUUUUUUCCCCCCCUGUUUGUUUGUUUGUUUGUUUGUUUGUUUUUGUUUGUUGCGGCUCGAGCCACUUCCAGGUUAACGCCCUAACAGAAACCUCAUGCAUAAUUUAUAAGCGCGUGUGCGUUCAUCCAAUCACAAAACACUAGACUCACGUGACUCAUCCAAUCACAGAGCAGCAAUCCACCUGUCACUUCAAAGCAAGGACUCUGUUCAAAACCCCACACUACUUACUAAACAGUAUGUCAAACAUAGUGACGACACAAAUAGUAACGUGCUAAUUGGACACACUAUUUAGAACGUAUGCGGUUUGGGACGCAGCCAAGUCAUUGGCGCCUUUUAACGUCUCCGGCGCGAGCGUGCUGCUGCUGCUGAGUAUUUAACCAGUUAGCCAGUGAGCUAAUGGAGAAUCAGUUUCACAGAGUGUGUGUAGUCUGUAACAGAGCGAAGGAGGACAGGAAAUGAAUGGCUGGAGGUUAGGAUUUUUGUCUUUGGGAUUCACUUUAGCUCACAUUACUAUAGUUAGCUGUCUACAAUAACAUUUGUAGACGCGGCUACCAGUGAUAGAAGUGUGUGAAAGAGAAUAGUGUGAUCUAGUCAGAGAAAUAGGCAGGAAAUUGGCAUAAAUGGAGAGCGGUAACAUAAUACCUUAUAACGUUACUACCAGUGUUGCUAGAAUUGUGUUAGCAAGCAAUGUACUGACAUGUUUAUAUUUAAAUUUCGAUAGUCCGCCAUUUAAGAAACGUCUGUCAGCUUUAAGCAAGGCGCAGGGAUUUGGAGCUCUGUGAUUGGAUGAAGCAGCGCAUUCAUUAAUUAUUAAUGAAUGUCUCAGGUCCUAAGGAAAACAGUGAGUACAUGUGGAAACGUAAGUACUAAAUCUUCAGUACCCAUGUGGAUCUGAGCCUAUCCCGAGAACACCGGGUGAGACUCAGGAGUACAGCCCUGAUGGGAUGUUAGUCCAUCUCGGGGCACCACACACACACACACACACACACACCCACCCACACACCCUCUCAUUCACAUUUAGGGGCAGUGUUGUCAACUGUUUUCAGAGGAAAGUAGCUAAAACAUGCCCAAAAAAGUCUCCAGAAGUUUCUAAAUGACAUCAUAUACUAAUUUGCAUAUCAAUUUACAAACUAGGGUAUGUGAAGAAAGAAAGUUUUCACUUAGAAUAUAAUAAAAAUAGAAUAGAGUUUUAUAGAAAUUAAUAAAUUAUAAUUUAUUAUUUAAAGUUCUUGUUCCUUAUAGAAAGAAGUCAUUUUUAGUCAUGGUGUCAAACUAAACGCAGACAAAAUAAAGCAGUGACAGUAAGUAGUUGUGAAAGGUGAGCAGUCAUGAAGGAAAUCUAACUUGCUUUUAUUAGCUACUGACUCUAAGGAGAGUAUUUAAAACAGCAGUGCGAGGGUGGGAUAAACAGCGGUGAUCAUUUAUUGGUAGCAGUCAGGCAUUACACAAUGAUGAUGGUGAUUCAAGCGAACCUGUUCUCUGAACUCAUCUGUCAGCAGGUGUGAUGUGAGCUGGAAAGCCGUGUCGAGUUCAGGACAGUCACUAAUGUGUGCUCAAAUUCACUAGAUUUGUCUAAAAAUCUGUAUGAUACUGCAAAAAGUCAGAAUAUUGUCAUCAUAGGCAGGGUGAGCUAUUUCCUUUUUGGGGCCCUAGGCAUCUGCUUUCCUAAGUGCAGUGAGGCCCUCCUCAUAUCAGCUCAUCAAUAUUUUCCAUUUUACUGACACAAAAUACUUCCUGAUUUUAUAAAUAGAAAAAUAAAUACCCAAUACCCACAGACAAAUCAAGGCACAUUAGAAAUAAUCAAGAGGGAACCAACAAAAAUAUUAAACGUUGGAUCAUAUUAAGUAUGACAUUAGAUGGCAUAGUGGGUGAUGGUAAAAAAUAAAUGAAUGAAGGGGGGAAAAAAAAAACAGGCUCUCAUGCUAUUUUCCUGUUGUGGUUUAGCUGUACUUGCCAAUUUAGAUGGAUGACUGCAAAUCAGUACAGAAUCUUGCGUAGGAACUCGCAUCAGAGUAUGCUACUACGAGUUAUCACUCAAAAAUACGCAAACACAGACGUCGUUUCUUUUUUUUUUUUCUCCAGAAAAGGCAGAUGAGCCAAUCAACAUGUGAGUCUGGUAUGACAUUAACUCUCUGAUGUUAACUGAUGCCAGGCCCACUUCCUCCCAUCUAACAUUAAUAAUCUAUUGUCUCGAUUUUCCCACUUGAAACAUGUGGAUAAAACAUGAGGACAAUGUUUUGAGUCUGUCAGGUCUACCCCUUCCUUGAACUCAACUUCCCAGAAUACACCACGGAAUAGAAGCAUAGCCACCACAAACUACAAUCCCCAGCACAACACCUGGGUUCAUGAACAACAGUCAUGUUCAUCUCCCGAGUUCUAAUCACGCACACCUGUUUCCAAUUACAUUCACACCCCAUAUAAACAGACCUUGGACAGUCAUUCAGUGUGAAGUAAUGCUUGGUGUGCAUCACGUGACUGACCAUGCCUUUGUUUGUUGAAUGCUAGCCUUUUAUUUUAUAUAUAUAUAUAUAAUAUAUAUAUUUUAUAUAUAAUUUAUUUAUUUAUUUUUUUGUGAUUCUAUUUCCUGGUUUCUGUGUCCUGGUUUUGCUAAUUUAUACUGUUUUCCCAAUUGCCUGAACCCUUGCCUGUUUUUUUGACCUUGAACCUGUCUCUCUUUUUGGAAUUGUUUGCUUGGACCUUUAAACUGUUCACACUGCAUUUGCAUCUGUCUCAGCCCUUCCAGUGUGACAGAGUUCUUUAAUGUGAAAUAAAAUCGAUGUCAAUGUCAAUGCAUGUUUGACCUAACAUUGGUAUGUUAUAUCAGUUAACUAUAUUUAUUAGGGAUGCCACUGAAAAAACUUUGGCCGAAAAUAGUAAAAAAUAUGGAGGGGAAGAAAAUACAGUUAAGUAUAAAAUCUAAGUUGGUCCAAAUAUUUUAAAUGGUAAUAGUGAUUAAAAAAAAAUUAUUAAAAAGGCUGCUUGCUCUCCUGUGCCAGCCACUGCAAGCGCAUUCACAGAGUGGGUCAAGCCUGUUACGGUAGAAAGUGGAGUGUUCCUAUAUAGAGGGUUUUACAGAGUGGGGUGGAAACACCUGUGUGAAAAGGACACAAAUGUUAUCAUUGUAGCUGUGAUUACAAAUUGCAGUUGAUGUAAAAACCAAAAAAAAAAAAAAACCUGUUUCCCAAAAUCAAUUAUAAACAGGGCUGAUUUAAAAAGAAAAUAGGCAAAUACCAAUAGCCUAUAUUUGCCCUAAUACCAAAUGAGACCACCAGGAUGUGCUGUUGUUUGUUUGGAGCUACUGUAUUAGAUGGGGAGAAUGUAGUUUUAAAGCCUAGUUCACCCUGUACUGACAGACACUGACCAAAGCCAACAAUCACCAACUUUCAAAAGUUGGCCAUUGGAUUUAGAAUGCUGGGAAAUACAACUGUCAUGUUCCCACUGCCCCAACAGACACCAACAAACUUUUUUAUGGACAGACUGGUUUAAAAAUGGAUGAUCCUUUCACGACAAUCAAAAUUUUAUUAUGACUAGUGUCUUUGUGUCGUUUUUCGCCUGAAAAGACGAAGAGUGAAACGAAAGAGGUUGGUUAUUGUGACGUGAGAGACAAGGCGCUUACUUAAAUUUAUGCGGAGAACUGCAGACAGAGGAUGUGUGGAGCUUUCAAAAUUUUGAUCGGUUGCCCCACGCAGUUUCAACAACUACUGCAGAUGGUGACACCAUCAUUCAGAGGCAACUACAAAUUUUAGAGAUGCCAUUUCACCCGGUGAACACCUAAUGAUUACACUUUGCUUCUUGGCAACAGGUAAUAAUCUUUGUUUCAUCUUUAAAAUCCCAAACAAUUCAAUUUAAGCUAUUUAGGUGGAAAUGUUAAUAUUGUAGUUUCUAAAAGCUGUAUAAUAUCUUUGUAUUGAUACAAUAUCUUUGUAUUGUUUAAUGUUCACAGGGGAAUUUUUUCGUAACCUGCUCUACUUGUUUUGAUUUGGAUGCUCAACUUUAACUAAGCUUAUUCCUGAAACAUGUAGAGCCAUCUACCAGGUUCUCCGAGAGAGACAUCUUAAGUGCGCUACCACAGCAGAUGAGUGGCUGAUGAUAUCUGAAGGAUUCCAAGUCACUGCAAAAUUUCCUAAUUGCUUAAGGGCUUUGGUCAGGAAGCAUAUUCGGAUUAGACCCCCCCUCACUGUGGAGCCCAGUUUUUCAAUUAUAAACACUUCAGUUUCAUUGUUAUGAUGGCAUUGCAUGAUAGUUAUUACAUAUUUUUUUUAAUGUUGAUGUAGGGUGUAAUGGAAGGGUGUAAGAUGGUGGAGUAUUUAGAGGGUCAACUCUGCAAGAGUCUCUAGAACAGAGAACUGCAAACAUUCCCCAACCUACUCCACUACAAGGGACAGACAUGAGAAUGCCAUUUUUCAUUGUGGCAAACUUAAUGAAACCUUUUGCAUGAAGGGGCUUUCCACGGAACAGAGAGUCUUCAUCUACUGGUUAUCCUGUGCCCGCCUUAUUGUAGAAAAUAUCUUUGGUAUCUUUGUCAACAGAUUCAGAGUUUUUAUGUAUGUAUGUAUGUAUGUAUGUAUGUAUUUAUUUAUUUAUUUAUUUAUAAAAACUAUGAUUAAUCUAGAUCCAAAUGUUGUGGAGGACAUUGCAUUAUGUGCCCUUCACAACUAUUUACAUGAAGAAUGUAGUGAUGCUUAUCUAAGUGGAAUAAUUGAUCAGGACGAGCAAGAAAAUUAUCUUCUACCUGAAACCUAGAGGCAGGACCCUACUCUGCAACAGGCAGCAUUGCCGAGGUCCACAAAUGCAAAUAAUAAGGCCAAACAAAACAGGGAGAGGCUAGUGGAGUACUUUAACUCAGAGACAGGAGCUGUUUUUUUGGCAAUGGGAUAGAAUAUAGUAAAUAAUUCUCUUCAUCCAUACCCAGAUACAUAACAAUUUAAAGGGAAAGUUCACCUAAAAAUUAAACGUCUGUCAUCAUUUAUUCACCCUCAUGUUGUUCCAAACCCGUUUGGUUUUCUGUCUUUCAUAAGUGACUGAGGUUUCAAAAGUGACCAAGGCUCAAAAUUUGCAAAUAUCUCCUUUGUGUUCCACAGAAUAAAGUCAUACGGCUUUAGAACAACAUGGAAAUGAGUACAUGAUGACAGAAUUUUCAUUAUUGGAAGAACUAUAUGUUUCAUUUAAAUUAAUCUAUAUUUUUAACAAAACAAAAGAGUUUGAUGGAGUACUUUAAUUCUGAGAGAGGCGCUGUCCAUGGCAAUGGACUAAAAUACUGUAAAUGUUUCUCUGUACCCACACCCAAAUAAACAUUUUAUUUUAAAUAAACUUAAAUUUUGAACAUCAAGGUUUGAUGUUGAGGAUCUUUUUUUUUUUUUUUAAUGUGCACCUCUAAAAACUUCAGUCACCUCAGAAACCAUUCCUGCCUUGGAGUCAGAUGUCCUCUGCAAACAGAGGGAGGGGAUUUCAGGUAUCUAUUGUACUGUGUCCUCAUAUUACCCAUUUUUUUUUCUUUACCUCAGCUUCUGUGAAAGAAGAACACGAGACAAACUAAGAUCAGUAAAUGUACUGAAGUAUUGAGGUAAACUUUCAAAUGACUAAACCUGAUAUCCCAAGGGCUGUGGCAAUCGACCUGAUCGCAUUCCCCCUUGCUUUGCAGUUGGUAUACAUGGCUAUACCCACAACAUAAAGCUCCAGCUUCUCCAGAGAUCCAGUAACUCUUCUUCUAUCUAAUUCGUCCAGAAAUCUGCCAUCUUUCCCACAGCAACGAUUUAGCACGCCUAGCACCUAGCCUACCAGCUUUCGUUUCUGUGGCGUUUUCAAGGACUAUUGCCUCGUCAUCAUGGCAACGGUUCAAGCCCAGGUCAGAUUACGUCAGAGUUUAUUGGAAAAUCAUACCACAGUGCUCGGACAUUCCACAACCCGACAAAUGCUGAUUGAACAUGUUUUUGUUUUGACCAACUGAACAGGCUUUAACACAUGUUAACACACUGAUCUGACAAAACCCGACAAAAGCGUCUGUUGGUGUUGGUCAGCAUCUGUCAGUGCAGUGUGACAAUGAGAAUGAUAAUCAAAAUUAUCAAUCCUGAAGGAGUGAAACUCUUGGUGUGAAGCCCCCAAUGCGUUAUAUCAUAUGGACUCGCAGUAAAUCUAAGCCUUAUGGUGAGUCCAUAUGCCAUAACACAUUGGAGACUUGAGUUUUGUACUGAGUGUGCUGGAGUUACAGCUGUUACGCCGCAGAUGUGACCAUCGAUUGCCUUGAAGCCAACCGCUGUCUGCGAUUUCUCCUUAAACAAAAGGCAUAGUCUCCUCCAAGUUUGUGUGGUUCUUUCUUCUAAAUUAAUGCAAUUUCUCACACAAGCUUUUCAAAGUUCUAAUACUAAUAAUAAUCUGGCGUUAAUGUGCCAGACGAUUAAGUAUUUAUUUAACCAAUACUAAAGUAUAACUUCACCACAUCCAC